GGGAUCUCUUGAUGAAGUCCUUGUUUUAAACUGUUUAAUUGGGAUUGUUUUAAACUGUUUAAUUGGGAUCUCAUUAUGAAGUCCUCGUUUUUGUCUUUCAUUGGGAUCUCAUGAUGAAGUCUUCAGUUCUCACUGUGUCGUUGGGUUCUCUGCAAUAGCAAAGUCCUCGUUCUCACUGUGUCGUUGGGUUCUCUGUGGUGACAAAGCCCUCGGACUUUUCAUGGGUAUCUCAAUGGUCAUGAAGUCCUCAGCCAGCGUCACCUCCUGGC
rnacentral:lncRNA from 1 species